rnacentral:rRNA from 1 species
UUUUGGGCAAUGGGCGAAAGCCUGACCCAGCAACGCCGCGUGAGGGAUGAAGGCCUUCGGGUCGUAAACCUCUGUCGGGAGGGAAGAACGGUUCACGUUCAAACAGGACGGGAGCCUGACGGGACCUCCAAAGGAAGCACCGGCUAACUCCGUGCCAGCAGCCGCGGUAAGACGAACCGUGCGAACGUUAUUCGGAAUCACUGGGCUUAAAGCGCGUGUAGGCGGGAGGGCACGUCCGUCGCUGAAAUCCCCCGGCUCAACCGGGGAACGGGCGCGGAUACGACCUUCCUUGAGGGGCGUAGGGGGACCUGGAACUUCCGGUGGAGCGGUGAAAUGCGUUGAGAUCGGAAGGAACGCCCGUGGCGAAAGCGAGGUCCUGGACGCCUACUGACGCUGAGACGCGAAAGCCAGGGGAGCGAAC